rnacentral:rRNA from 1 species
UGAUGCAGCGACGCCGCGUGAGGGAUGACGGCCUUCGGGUUGUAAACCUCUUUCAGUAGGGAAGAAGCGAAAGUGACGGUACCUGCAGAAGAAGCACCGGCUAACUACGUGCCAGCAGCCGCGGUAAUACGUAGGGUGCGAGCGUUAUCCGGAAUUAUUGGGCGUAAAGAGCUCGUAGGCGGUUUGUCGCGUCUGUCGUGAAAGUCCGGGGCUUAACCCCGGAUCUGCGGUGGGUACGGGCAGACUAGAGUGCAGUAGGGGAGACUGGAAUUCCUGGUGUAGCGGUGGAAUGCGCAGAUAUCAGGAGGAACACCGAUGGCGAAGGCAGGUCUCUGGGCUGUAACUGACGCUGAGGAGCGAAAGCAUGGGGAGCGAACAGGAUUAGAUACCCUGGUAGUCCAUGCCGUAAACGUUGGGCACUAGGUGUGGGGACCAUUCCACGGUUUCCGCGCCGCAGCUAACGCAUUAAGUGCCCCGCCUGGGGAGUACGGCCGCAAGGCUAAAACUCAAAGGAAUUGACGGGGGCCCGCACAAGCGGCGGAGCAUGCGGAUUAAUUCGAUGCAACGCGAAGAACCUUACCAAGGCUUGACAUGUUCUCGAUCGCCGUAGAGAUACGGUUUCCCCUUUGGGGCGGGUUCACAGGUGGUGCAUGGUUGUCGUCAGCUCGUGUCGUGAGAUGUUGGGUUAAGUCCCGCAACGAGCGCAACCCUCGUUCCAUGUUGCCAGCACGUAAUGGUGGGGACUCAUGGGAGACUGCCGGGGUCAACUCGGAGGAAGGUGAGGACGACGUCAAAUCAUCAUGCCCCUUAUGUCUUGGCUUCACGCAUGCUACAAUGGCCGGUACAAUGGGUUGCGAUACUGUGAGGUGGAGCUAAU